CGUUCUCUAGCGCAUCAAACCCUAGCAAUUUAAGGUUAUAUAAAGGAGAUCACUAAUAGAGUACAUACAUAAUCUUAUAUACUUUUGAAGGUUCCUUGGUGAUAAGAGAUGAGGUAGUGUUGUAGUUUCAAAGACUGUGUAAAAAGAAAAACAAUAGAAAAAGGAAGAGCAAAAAUGAAGUUCUUAUCACCAUAGAUCAUCUUCAGGGCAAAUUAAGGAAAAAAUCGUAGUAGUGAUUGGUGUUUCACCAAUUGUAUUGGUUCUAUUCUUUUUCCUUUAACUUUGAUUAUAAUUUUAAUACGCUUUUAUCUACUUUUUACAAUUGACAGAUACAUCCACUUUUGAACAGACAAUUUUCCAGAUGUAAGAUUCUUUGGUAUUUAUUAGGGUUUGCUAAAAAUUUUGUAGGUGUUGCCUAGAGUAAGGUGGCACGGGGAAGAAACGAUCAAAGUGAGUACUUUAUUUACUAUCAUGAUUUUUUUCUUGUUAGUUUUAUAAUUCUUAUAUAAUUAAGUUUGUUUCUUGUGUAGGUACUUAUGAUUAUAAAUUUACUUCUUCUAUGGUAAUCUUAUUUCUUAAAUAAAGUAAAAGUAAGUCAAUUUAUGGAGUUUUAUCUUAUUGCUGAGAUGAUCAAACACACACAUAUAUCAAUUACUAUAUUUUUCGUGAAGAGGUAAAUUGGUUAUUGAUUUUGGCUACAAGAACACAUUUUUUCAUUGUAUAAUAUUUUUUAUUGAUAUAUUUCAUAUGCAAAGUUGUAUCUCUUUCACCUUCUACUUUUUACGACCUUUGCAAAUCUGAAACAAAUGAAAGAAAUUGUCUCCCUUUUUAUUAUCAUAAGAUCUUAACUUAAAGGUAAUAUGUGACAUUUGUUCAAUUUAGACUCCUUUUCACCCCUAUUUUUAUUCUUAUUGGAUUAUUUCAAAUAGUAUGAUUUUUGUUAAGUUACUUAAUUAUAAAUAUUUAUAUGUAAUGGUUAAUAUUUUGUAAACAUUGAAUAAUUUUAUUUUUUAAUUCCAACAUGUUAUAUGCAUACUGGUGAACUAUACCUCCUCAACCAUUGUGACAACUUCAUGUUUUCGUUAUCAUCCUCAUCACAGGAAUCCUCAAUAUCAUAUUCCGCAUGGUCAUCUUCAGAGUAAGAAUGAUUGAUCAUUACAACUGACUUCAUUAAUUAGUUAUUUUUCCCAUUUCUCUUACUCUUUUGAUCACUCUCCGCCAAUAAUUUUAACAACUCACAACCGAAAAAACUUAUGGUGAGAUAAUUGAUUUUUUACACUCCUUGACAGAGUAUGGGUUGAUGAAUAAGAGAAAGCGGAGAAAUAACUAAGUGAUUUAUCAAGUUGUGAUCGAGAAUCAUUACUACCCUGAAGAUGACCAUGUGAGCUAUGACAUCGAGGAUUCUUGAGAUGAGAAUGAUUACGACAAUAUCAAGUGCAGAAAAAGUUAAGGAAUCAUGUGUACACCAAUAAUGCAUAUAAGAUGCAAUGUGUUUAAUUUUGUUCCCAUUUAAAAAUACAAGUAUAACAUUGUUUUAGAUAUAUUGGUAAAUGUCAUGACUAUGAAUUAAGUUAAAAAAAUACAAAAGGUUAUACAUAUAUGUAAAUGUGUGGGUCGUGCAAGUUAGGAAAUUAUACUUAUUGAAUUAGAUUAUUUUGGAAAUCAUUUCGAUUGGGAAGGGGAAAUUCUAUUAAGUGCAUUUGGAAGUUUGGUAAAGAGACAUAAAAAUUGUUAUAUCUUUCAUUGAAAAGUCAUUCAUAAAGAAUUUAUUGUUGACAUGGUAAAGCCGAUUUAUUACUAAAAAAUUUCUAAGUAUUUUUCUUGUAAAAUUUUAUGUAUAUUGUUAAUGACACUCACGAUAGAUAAAAUUUAUUUUGUUUUUGAACUAAUUGAACAAAACAAAGCAUGUUAUAGUACAACAAAUUGAGUAUGAAAUGAAGACAAUGUAAACAUGAAUUGAAAUAAAAAGGAUAUAAAUUGCUAACACCAAGUAGAACACAACCACUUAUAUACCUAAUCUUGGAGUUGAUGCAUACCAAUAUCAUGAUUCGGUACAUAUUGUAUUUACUCUUUGGUUAACAAAAUUAUUUAUUAAGG
rnacentral:lncRNA from 1 species